rnacentral:rRNA from 1 species
AACGAACGCUGGCGGCAUGCCUAACACAUGCAAGUCGAACGAGACCUUCGGGUCUAGUGGCGCACGGGUGCGUAACGCGUGGGGAUCUGCCCUUUGCUUCGGAAUAACAGUUAGAAAUGACUGCUAAUACCGGAUGAUGUCGUAAGACCAAAGAUUUAUCGGCAAAGGAUGAACCCGCGUAGGAUUAGCUAGUUGGUGGGGUAAAGGCCUACCAAGGCGACGAUCCUUAGCUGGGUCUGAGAGGAUGAUCAGCCACACUGGGACUGAGACACGGCCCAGACUCCUACGGGAGGCAGCAGUGGGGAAUAUUGGACAAUGGGCGAAAGCCUGAUCCAGCAAUGCCGCGUGAGUGAUGAAGGCCUUAGGGUUGUAAAGGCUCUUUUACCCGGGUAUGAUAAUGACAGUACCGGGA